AGGAUGAACGCUGGCGGCGUGCCUAACACAUGCAAGUCGAACGUCCUGUCUCGCAAGAGGCAGGGAGUGGCGGACGGGUGAGUACCACGUGGGUCAUCUACCGUGAGGUGAGGAAUACCGGCGAGAAAUCGCCGACAAGACCGCAUAGGCUCGAUGCAAGUCGAGCAAAGCUCUUUCGAGAGAGGGAGCGCCACACGAGGAGCCUGCGCCCGAUUAGCUAGCUGGUGGAGUAACGGUUCACCAGGGCGACGAUCGGUAGCUGGUCUGAGAGGACGAUCAGCCACACUGGGAUUGAGAACGGCCCAGACUCCUACGGGGGGCAGCAGUGAGGAAUUUCGUCAAUGGGGGCAACCCUGAACGAGCAACGCCGCGUGCAGGAAGAAGGUUUUCGGAUCGUAAACUGCUUUUCUCGGGGAAGAGAAUGGACGGUACCCGAGGAAUCAGCCCCGGCUAACUACGCGCCAGCAGCCGCGGU
rnacentral:rRNA from 1 species